UCUUUUUCUUUCGUUUUUGGGUUUUAGUCUCUGUCACUCACUUUCCCUUCCUCAUUUUUUUUAGUUGAAGAAGAAAGUGUUUUCUUCCUUAGAGCUAUUGGAGUUAGAGGAAUCAUGUGGUAGUUUGAUUUUCGUAUCAGUUGGUUCAGAUUGACAGAGAGAUUCAAUUUGGGGGUUUUCUUUGCUCUUUUCAGUUGAGGUUGAUUCCCUGUUCUGAUGAGUAGUUCUGGAGAUAGUUCACAAGAAGGGCUCAAUGUUGACUUGGGGGAUGGUCUAGAGGGAGAUGGUUCUGCAAGUGGUACUGGCAAUGACGCAAAGCAAGGUCGGGGUCAAGGGAUAUGCAACUGGUGUCUAAAUAACAUGAGAAAAAGUAUCAGACUCCAGCAAACUUGAUGCGUGGGACACUCUCGUGUUUCUUAUUCCUAAAAUUAUUGAAUACUUAGUGCAUGUAUGUGAGUUUAUUAGUUAUAUAUUUUAGAGUUGAUGUAAGACUACCUUAUUGUG